rnacentral:rRNA from 1 species
CUUCGGUACGAUCGGUGACAGGUGGUGCAUGGUUGUCGUCAGCUCGUGUCGUGAGAUGUUGGGUUAAGUCCCGCAACGAGCGCAACCCCUAUUGUUAGUUGCCAUCAUUCAGUUGGGCACUCUAGCGAGACUGCCGGUAAUAAACCGGAGGAAGGUGGGGAUGACGUCAAAUCAUCAUGCCCCUUAUGACCUGGGCUACACACGUGCUACAAUGGUUGGUACAACGAGUUGCGAGUCGGUGACGGCGAGCUAAUCUCUUAAAGCCAAUCUCAGUUCGGAUUGUAGGCUGCAACUCGCCUACAUGAAGUCGGAAUCGCUAGUAAUCGCGGAUCAGCACGCCCGCGGUCGAAUACGUUCCGGCCUU